CUUUUCUGUUUCCAGCAGGACACACCUGGCAAUGGAUGUGACAUUCAGCACUGCCCAGGUUUCUUCCACUUGGAGGAGGCAAAGUGGUGAAUGGAAGGAGGCAAUCCUCUGGCAGUGGGAUGCUAUGGAGCAAUAAUAAGGCAAGUUUGCUUGCUUGAAGGCUGCUGGUAUCUGUGGUUGGAAGCUGGUGGACAUCUCAUGAUGGACCUAAGAGAAGCUGGCAGAUGUUGGUGGAUGGAAUCCAGUGGCUUUUGGAUUUGGAAGUUGGUGGAGGCUACAAGGCUAAAGCAGGCUGAUGUUUGUGGAUGUCGGCUGAUGGAAGUUCACCUUUGGAAGACAGUCAGCAGAAGCCAAUGGAUCUUUGCGGACUGAGGCCAGGGCAUGAACAUGAAUGGAUGUUGGCUGGUAUAUGUUUGUGUGAGUACAUGGGAGCUUUCAGAUGUGGUUGAGGCAGAAUGGUGUUUGCAUGUGCACGAAUGUGAUGUGAAUAGAUGGAACCCAUGGGAGGGGGGAUAUUGGUUUCAUGGAAUCAAAGAAUCAGGGAAUCAAGUUUGGGAGGGACCCUGAGGGUCAUCUAGCCCGACCCCCUUACAAUGCAGGAAUCUUUUGUCAAAUGUGGGGCUCAUACCCAUUGGCAUGCUUUUGGACUGCUAGGUUGGCAGGAGCUGGGACAGAGCAAUGGAAGCUCACCCGGUCAUGAGGAUUUAAACCGCCGACCUUCUGAUCGUCAAGCCCAAGACGCUCAGUGGUUUAGACCACAACGCCACCCGCAUCCCCUUAGACCAAUGACUCCAUGGACCAGAGCACGCCAGGCACUCCUGUCUUCCACUGCCUCCCGCAGUUUGGUCAGGCUCAUGUUUGUAGCUUCAAGAACACUGUCAAACCAUCUUGUCCUCUGUCGUCCCCUUCUCCUUGUGCCCUCCAUCUUUCCCAACAUCAGGGUCUUCUCCAGGGAGUCUUCUCUUCUCAUGAGGUGGCCAAAGUAUUGGAGCCUCAACUUCACGAUCUGUCCUUCCAGUGAGCACUCAAGGCUGAUUUCCUU